rnacentral:rRNA from 1 species
AGAGUUUGAUCCUGGCUCAGGACGAACGCUGGCGGCGUGCCUAACACAUGCAAGUCGAGCGGUUCGGCAUUCAACACUGAGUAUUUAUGAGAAGUUGGAAAAGACAUAGCCAGCACAAGCGCGGUUAUGAAAUGCGCUUCACGCAUUAAAAAAGCCAACACAUAUAUGAGUACUGAGUGUUGAAUACCGGAUAGCGGCGGACGGGUGAGUAACGCGUGGGUAACCUGCCUUGUACAGGGGGAUAACACAGGGAAACUUGUGCUAAUACCGCAUAACAUCAGACCAUCACAUGGUGGACUGAUCAAAGGAGCAAUCCGGUAUAAGAUGGACCCGCGUCCGAUUAGCUAGUUGGAGGUGUAACGGACCACCAAGGCGACGAUCGGUAGCCGAACUGAGAGGUUGAUCGGCCACAUUGGGACUGAGACACGGCCCAGACUCCUACGGGAGGCAGCAGUGGGGAAUAUUGCGCAAUGGGGGAAACCCUGACGCAGCAACGCCGCGUGAAGGAUGAAGGUUUUCGGAUUGUAAACUUCUUCAGUCGGGGACGAAAAAAUGACGGUACCCGAAGAAUAAGCCACGGCUAACUACGUGCCAGCAGCCGCGGUAAUACGUAGGUGGCAAGCGUUGUCCGGAAUUACUGGGUGUAAAGGGCGUGUAGGCGGGAAGGUAAGUCAGAUGUGAAAUUCCGGGGCUCAACCCCGGCGCUGCAUCUGAAACUAUCUUUCUUGAGUGCUGGAGAGGAAAGCGGAAUUCCUAGUGUAGCGGUGAAAUGCGUAGAUAUUAGGAGGAACACCAGUGGCGAAAGGCGGCUUUCUGGACAGUAACUGACGCUGAGGCGCGAAAGCGUGGGGAGCAAACAGGAUUAGAUACCU